rnacentral:rRNA from 1 species
GACGAACGCUGGCGGCGUGCCUAAUACAUGCAAGUCGAACGAAGCUGUUUUAACUGGUGCUUGCACCGACUUAAACAACUGAGUGGCGAACGGGUGAGUAACACGUGGGUAACCUGCCCCAAAGCGGGGGAUAACAUUUGGAAACAGAUGCUAAUACCGCAUAACCACAGAAACCACAUGGUUUCUGUGUCAAAGAUGGUUUCGGCUAUCACUUUGGGAUGGACCCGCGGCGUAUUAGCUAGUUGGUAAGGUAAUGGCUUACCAAGGCAAUGGUACGUAGCCGAACUGAGAGGUUGAUCGGCCAAAUUGGGACUGAGACACGGCCCAAACUCCUACGGGAGGCAGCAGUAGGGAAUCUUCCACAAUGGACGAAAGUCUGAUGGAGCAACGCCGCGUGAGUGAAGAAGGUUUUCGGAUCGUAAAACUCUGUUGUCAGAGAAGAACGUGUGCGAGAGUAACUGUUCAGGUAUUGACGGUAUUUAACCAGAAAGCCACGGCUAACUACGUGCCAGCCGCCGCCGUAA